rnacentral:rRNA from 1 species
CCUACGGGAGGCAGCAGUGAGGAAUAUUGGUCCAUGGACGAGAGUCUGAACCAGCCAAGUAGCGUGAAGGAUGACUGCCCUAUGGGUUGUAAACUUCUUUUAUAUGGGAAUAAAAUGUUCCACGUGUGGGAUUUUGUAUGUACCAUAUGAAUAAGGAUCGGCUAACUCAGUGCCAGCAGCCGCGGUAAUACGGAGGAUCCGAGCGUUAUCCGGAUUUAUUGGGUUUAAAGGGAGCGUAGGUGGAUUGUUAAGUCAGUUGUGAAAGUUUGCGGCUCAACCGUAAAAUUGCAGUUGAAACUGGCAGUCUUGAGUACAGUAGAGGUGGGCGGAAUUCGUGGUGUAGCGGUGAAAUGCUUAGAUAUCACGAAGAACUCCGAUUGCGAAGGCAGUUCACUGGACUGCAACUGACACUGAGGCUCGAAAGUGUGGGUAUCAAACAGGAUUAGAUACCCCAGUAGUC